GAUGAACGCUGGCGGCGUGCUUAACACAUGCAAGUCGAACGGAAAGGCCCAAGCUUGCUUGGGUACUCGAGUGGCGAACGGGUGAGUAACACGUGGGUGAUCUGCCCUGCACUUCGGGAUAAGCCUGGGAAACUGGGUCUAAUACCGGAUAGGACCACAUUUUGGAUGGUGUGGUGGAAAGUUUUUCGGUGUGGGAUGAGCUCGCGGCCUAUCAGCUUGUUGGUGGGGUAAUGGCCUACCAAGGCGUCGACGGGUAGCCGGCCUGAGAGGGUGUACGGCCACAGUGGGACUGAGAUACGGCCCAGACUCCUACGGGAGGCAGCAGUGGGGAAUAUUGCACAAUGGGCGCAAGCCUGAUGCAGCGACGCCGCGUGGGGGAUGACGGCCUUCGGGUUGUAAACUCCUUUCGCUAGGGACGAAGCGUUUUUGUGACGGUACCUGGAGAAGAAGCACCGGCUAACUACGUG
rnacentral:rRNA from 1 species